rnacentral:lncRNA from 1 species
CAAUUCUUAGUGUCAGCUUCAUGCAUAGGUAGUAACAUGGUCAUAGCAGUUUCUACAUAUGACAAAACCCAGAAGAACAAGGGAUGCUAUUUGUGGACUGAAUGUUUGUGUCUCCCCAGAAUUCAUGUUGAAACCCUAUUCCCCAGUGUGAUAGCAUUAGGAGUUGGGCCUUUGAGAGGAUAAAAUGAGAAGUCAGCAGUCUGGAACCCGGAAGAGAAACCUCAUCAGAAACUGACCAUGCUGGCACCCUAAAACUGGGACUUCCAGCCUCCAGAAUUAGUCUCGCUCUGUCACCCAGACUGGAGUACAAGGAUGCGAUCUCGGCCCACUGCAACCUCCACCUCCCAGGUUCAAGCGAUUCUCCCACCUCAGCCUCCUGAGUAGCUGGGAUUACAG